rnacentral:rRNA from 1 species
UGCGGAGGAUGCGAGCGUUAUCCGGAUUUAUUGGGUUUAAAGGGUGCGUAGGCGGACUGUCAAGUCAGCGGUAAAAUUGAGAGGCUCAACCUCUUCCCGCCGUUGAAACUGGUGGUCUUGAGUGGAUGAGAAGUACGCGGAAUGCGUGGUGUAGCGGUGAAAUGCAUAGAUAUCACGCAGAACUCCGAUUGCGAAGGCAGCGUACCGGCAUCCAACUGACGCUGAGGCACGAAAGCGUGGGGAUCAAACAGG